UACAGAGGGUGCGAGCGUUAAUCGGAAUUACUGGGCGUAAAGCGUGCGUAGACGGUCAUGUAAGUCGGAUGUGAAAGCCCCGGGCUCAACCUGGGAAUUGCAUUCGAGACUGCAAGGCUUGGGUGCGGAAGAGGGAAGCGGAAUUUCCGGUGUAGCGGUGAAAUGCGUAGAUAUCAGGAGGAACACCGAUGGCGAAGGCAGGUCUCUGGGCUGACACUGACGCUCAUGCACGAAAGCGUGGGGAGCAAACAGG
rnacentral:rRNA from 1 species